rnacentral:rRNA from 1 species
UACGGAGGGUGCAAGCGUUAUCCGGAUUUACUGGGUUUAAAGGGUGCGUAGGUGGGUUGGUAAGUCAGUGGUGAAAUACUUUCGCUUAACGAAGGAACUGCCAUUGAUACUACCAGUCUUGAAUACAGUGGAGGUAGGCGGAAUGCGUCAUGUAGCGGUGAAAUGCUUAGAUAUGACGCAGAACACCAAUUGCGAAGGCAGCUUGCUACGCUGUUAUUGACACUGAGGCACGAAAGCGUGGGGAUCAAACAGG